rnacentral:rRNA from 1 species
GACGAACGCUGGCGGCGUGCUUAACACAUGCAAGUCGAACGGAAAGGCCCUGCUUUUGUGGGGUGCUCGAGUGGCGAACGGGUGAGUAACACGUGAGUAACCUGCCCUUGACUUUGGGAUAACUUCAGGAAACUGGGGCUAAUACCGGAUAGGAGCUCCUGCUGCAUGGUGGGGGUUGGAAAGUUUCGGCGGUUGGGGAUGGACUCGCGGCUUAUCAGCUUGUUGGUGGGGUAGUGGCUUACCAAGGCUUUGACGGGUAGCCGGCCUGAGAGGGUGACCGGCCACAUUGGGCCUGAGAUACGGCCCAGACUCCUACGGGAGGCAGCAGUGGGGAAUAUUGCACAAUGGGCGGAAGUCUGAUGCAGCAACGCCGCGUGCGGGAUGACGGCCUUCGGGUUGUAAACCGCUUUCGCCUGUGACGAAGCGUGAGUGACGGUAAUGGGUAAAGAAGCACCGGCUAACUACGUG